rnacentral:rRNA from 1 species
GACGAACGCUGGCGGCGUGCUUAACACAUGCAAGUCGAGCGGCAAGGCCCUUUCGGGGGUACACGAGCGGCGAACGGGUGAGUAACACGUGGGUGACCUGCCCUUAGCUCUGGGAUAAGCCUGGGAAACUGGGUCUAAUACCGGAUAUGACUCCAUGACGCAUGUUGUGGGGUGGAAAGCCUUGUGCGGCUAGGGAUGGGCCCGCGGCCUAUCAGCUUGUUGGUGGGGUGAUGGCCUACCAAGGCGACGACGGGUAGCCGGCCUGAGAGGGCGACCGGCCACACUGGGACUGAGACACGGCCCAGACUCCUACGGGAGGCAGCAGUGGGGAAUCUUGCGCAAUGGGCGAAAGCCUGACGCAGCGACGCCGCGUGAGGGAUGACGGCCUCGGU